rnacentral:rRNA from 1 species
GACGAACGCUGGCGGCGUGCCUAAUACAUGCAAGUAGAACGCUGAAGGAGGAGCUUGCUCUUCUGGAUGAGUUGCGAACGGGUGAGUAACGCGUAGGUAACCUGCCUGGUAGCGGGGGAUAACUAUUGGAAACGAUAGCUAAUACCGCAUAAUAGUAGUUGUUGCAUGACAACUGUUUGAAAGGUGCAAUUGCAUCACUACCAGAUGGACCUGCGUUGUAUUAGCUAGUUGGUGGGGUAACGGCUCACCAAGGCGACGAUACAUAGCCGACCUGAGAGGGUGAUCGGCCACACUGGGACUGAGACACGGCCCAGACUCCUACGGGAGGCAGCAGUAGGGAAUCUUCGGCAAUGGACGGAAGUCUGACCGAGCAACGCCGCGUGAGUGAAGAAGGUUUUCGGAUCGUAAAGCUCUGUUGUAAGAGAAGAACGAGUGUGAGAGUGGAAAGUUCACACUGUGACG